AGCCUGGUCCUGUGCAAUGAGGGAUCGUAAACCCCGUCAGGUCCGGAAGGAAGCAGCGGUAGCGGUUUUCUUGUGUGCCGCAGGAGUGCCUGGCUGUC
rnacentral:SRP_RNA from 1 species